rnacentral:rRNA from 1 species
UCAAGAAACUUCCACAAUGGGCGAAAGCCUGAUGGAGCGACGUCGCGUGAUGGACGAAGUGCUUCGGCACGUAAACAUCUUUUAUGUGGGAUGAAAUUAUUGACAGUACCACAUGAAUAAGGGGCUCCUAACUCUGUGCCAGCAGGAGCGGUAAUACAGAGGCCCCAAGCGUUAUCCGGAAUCACUGGGCGUAAAGGGUGUCGAGGCGGUUGUAUUAGUCGUUCGUAAAAUCUACGAGCUUAACUUGUAGGCGGCGAACGAAACGGUGCGACUUGAGGUUUGGAGAGGUGCGUGGAACUCACGGUGUAGGGGUGAAAUCCGUUGAUAUCGUGGGGAACACCAAAGGCGAAGGCAGCGCACUGGCCAAAAUCUGACGCUCACACACGAAAGCUAGGGUAGCGAAGAGGAUUAGAUACCCCCGUAGUCCCUGAGCGGGCUGGCAAGGCGCAU